rnacentral:rRNA from 1 species
GGUGGAUGCCUUGGCAGUUUGAACCGAAGAAAGACGUGUGUAUGAGCACGAUAUCAACGAUAAGUCCUCCAACAGACAUUAUCAAUCGUUGGUCUCUGAAUGGGGCAACCUAUCCCGAUGUAAGUCGGGAUUAUCCGCCGCAAGGUGAGAUAGGGAACCUAGUGAACUGAAACAUCUAAGUAACUAGAGGAAGAGAAAUCAUAUGAGAUUCCGUCAGUAGCGGCGAGCGAACGCGGAUCAGUCUAAACCCGAAUUUAUUCGGGGGUUGCAGGGCCACUGUAGGGAUAUAUAAUUCGUAGAAGAACGGCAUGGAACGGCCGGCCAUAGAGAGUGACAGCCUCGUAUUCGAAAUGAAUUAUAUCCUGGUGGAUUCCCUAAGUACCACGAGGCACGGCAAACCUUGUGGGAAUCUGGGUCGGUCACGAUCCAAGACUAAAUAUUCAAACUGACCGAUAGUGAACUAGUACCGUGAGGGAAAGGUGAAAAGUCCCCCGAAAGGGGCGUGAAAUAGAUACUGAAACCAUUAGCUAACAAACAGACAGAGCCUCGUAAGGGGUGAUGUCGUGCCUAUUGAAGAAUGAGUCAGCGAGUUAUCGGUGUCUGCUUAGUGCUUAAGUCUGAAUUGUUAGACGGAGGCAGAGCGAAAGCGAGUCCUAAUAGGGCGACCAAUUGUAGACACCGGUUAACCCGAAACUUGGUGAGCUAACCAUGAGCAGGGUGAAGUUUGUCGAAAGACAGAUGGAGGCCCGAACUCGUCGUCGGUGAAAUGGCGUGAGAUGACUUGUGGUUAGGGGUAAUAUGCCUAUCGAACCAAGAGAUAGCUGGUUCUCCCCGAGAUAUAUUUAGGUAUAGCCUAUUCAACUACUUCGUGAGGUAGAGCGACUGGAUAGUUUUCGGGGCCGCAAGGCUACGUGAAUUAACCAAACUCCUAAUGCGCGAAGAUUAUUGAAUAGAGUCAGUCCCACUCGGAUAAGCGAGCGUGGGCGAGAGGGAAACAUCCCAGAUUCUCGACUAAGGUUCCUAAAUUACUUUUAAGUGGGAAAGGCCGUUUGUUUUCCAACACAGCAGGGAGGUUGGCUCAGAAGCAGCCAUCCUUUAAAGAGUGCGUAACAGCUCACCUGAAUAGUUCCCGGUUUACCGGGAUUGGAAGACAUGCGCCUAAAAUUAUUCGGAUCUCAAAAAGUAUACCGAAGUCGGAAAUGAGUUCACGAUUUAUCGUGAUCUCGUGGUAGGGGAGCAUUCUUGUUGCAGUGAAGCAUUGGUGUAAACCGGUGUGGAGCGGCAAGAAGUGAGAAUGCUGACAUAAGUAGUGUUUUCUCCCGAUGAAAAUUCGGGAUGCCGAAUGUUCAAGGUUUCCUCAGCAACGUCAAUCGACUGAGGGUUAGUCGGAUCUAAGCGUUCGCCGAAUCAGGCGAUCGCGAUGUACAAGCAGUUAAUAUUCUGUUACUAUCCAUUAACGUUAUCACUUACAUCAUGACGAAGUAUGAAUCCUAGUGCCUUCUAUAUGGGGGUUUAAACUGUUAAGGUUUGACGCAAGUUAAAUUCCAAGCAGUGAUGUCGAGUUUGCCGCAAGGCGAGCAAGUCUAAAGAUUUAUGUUUCCGGGAAAAAUGGUGUAGGGAGUUUUAUGGGUAUCCGUACCGACAACCAACACAGGUGAACAGGUAGAGUAUACCACGGCAUUCGAGUAAUAACGAUUCAAGGAACUCUGCAUAAAAAGCUGAGCGUAAGCUAUGCAAGAUGCUCUGCCCGUCGCAAGACGGGUUUCAACAAAAGAUUAUCAGGCAACUGUUUAACUAAAACACAGGUUCCUGCUAACCCUAAAAGGGGAUGUAUAGGAGCUGAUGCCUGUCCAGUACUGGUAAGUUAAUCAUUGGGACUGACGUGGAGCGAGCAAUCUCUCCAAACAGGUUCCGGUGCAAGCUCCAGUGAACGACAGCUCUAACCCUGAGAGUUCUAAGGUAGCGUAACCCCUUGUCGGGUAAGUUCCGACCCGCAU